GCCCAGCUAGCUCAGUUGCUAGAGCACGAGACUCUUAAUCUCAGGGUCGUAGGUUUGAGCCCCGCAAUGGGCG
rnacentral:tRNA from 1 species